AGAGGGUGCGAGCGUUAAUCGGAAUUACUGGGCGUAAAGGGCGCGUAGGUGGUCUUUUAAGAUUGAUGUGAAAUCCCUGGGCUUAACCUAGGAACUGCAUCGAUGACUGAGAGGCUGGAGUACUGUAGAGGGUAGUGGAAUUUCCGGUGUAGCGGUGAAAUGCGUAGAGAUCGGAAGGAACACCAGUGGCGAAGGCGGCUACCUGGACAGAUACUGACACUGAGGCGCGAGAGCGUGGGGAGCAAACAGGAUUAGAUACCCUGGUAGUCCACGCUGUAAACGAUGAAGACUAGAUGUUGGUCAGCUUGACUGAUUAGUAUCGAAGCUAACGCGAUAAGUCUUCCGCCUGGGGAGUACGGCCGCAAGGUUA
rnacentral:rRNA from 1 species